rnacentral:rRNA from 1 species
UGGGGAAUUUUGGACAAUGGGCGAAAGCCUGAUCCAGCAAUGCCGCGUGUGUGAAGAAGGCCUUCGGGUUGUAAAGCACUUUUGCCCGGAAAGAAAUCCUUGGCUCUAAUACAGUCGGGGGAUGACGGUACCGGAAGAAUAAGCACCGGCUAACUACGUGCCAGCAGCCGCGGUAAUACGUAGGGUGCAAGCGUUAAUCGGAAUUACUGGGCGUAAAGCGUGCGCAGGCGGUUUGCUAAGACCGAUGUGAAAUCCCCGGGCUCAACCUGGGAACUGCAUUGGUGACUGGCAGGCUAGAGUAUGGCAGAGGGGGGUAGAAUUCCACGUGUAGCAGUGAAAUGCGUAGAGAUGUGGAGGAAUACCGAUGGCGAAGGCAGCCCCCUGGGCCAAUACUGACGCUCAUGCACGAAAGCGUGGGGAGCAAAACAGGAUUAGAUACCCUGGUAGUCCACGCCCUAAAACGAUGUCAACUAGUUGUUGGGGAUUCAUUUCCUUAGUAACGUAGCUAACGCGUGAAGUUGACCGCCUGGGGAGUACGGUCGCAAGAUUAAAACUCAAAUGAAUUGACGGGGUCAUAGCUGUUUCCU